ACUGCCCCUAAAGGCAUUGGAGGUGUGGCUGAUGUCACAUGUGAGAAACUUGGUGACAGAGAAUAGAAAGGUUAUAUCUAUGCUCCAUGUUCUAACCUAUGUAUACCUGAAUGAUUAGUAGCCUAAUAUU
ensembl:snoRNA LOC120098386 small nucleolar RNA SNORA17